CAGCACCUCAAGUGGUCAGGAUGAUUAUUGGGCCUAAAGCAUCCGUAGCCGGCGCUGUAAGUUUUCGGUUAAAUCUGUACGCUCAACGUACAGGCUGCCGGGAAUACUGCAGCGCUAGGGAGUGGGAGAGGUAGAUGGUACUCGGUAGGAAGGGGUAAAAUCCUUUGAUCUAUUGAUGACCACCUGUGGCGAAGGCGGUCUACCAGAACACGUCCGACGGUGAGGGAUGAAAGCUGGGGGAGCAAACCGGAUUAGAUACCCGAGUAGUUC
rnacentral:rRNA from 1 species